AUGGCGGGAAGUAGCCACCGCCGAUCUGCGAAACCGCAGUACGAGUUGGAUGCUUCCGAGUUCUUCACUAUCAUACUUGAGGCUUCAGUAUCAUCCAUGACGCAGAGGUUGCCUGACAGUUUUAUGAACAUGCUGAUGGGUGAAGAUCCGCCAAAUAAUGUGAAGCUGCGACAGGCCGGCAGCGGGUUUCGCAGGCAGUGGGAUGUGCAGUUGGUGAUCAAGAAGGGCCACAUGUACUUGUCUCGUGGGUGGGAGAAGUUCUACCGUGCCUACGACCUGCAGCUGGGGUACUUCCUUCUCUUCAGGUACGACGACGAUGCCAACAUGCUCAUCGUGUAG
rnacentral:rRNA from 1 species